UUCUUUAAUUAUUAUUCUCAAUUUCGAUCAAUUACGUCUCAAUUUCGUAAUUUCGGAGGAAAUUUAGGGAAACUGCAUCACUUCCUUUUAUAUAAUCAAGGCAGUGGUUGCUAACUAACGUGAUUUUGUAAUAUAAAAAGUUUGAUCUUGGAGAAUUUGCAUAUAAGUUGGUGCAAUUAGAACCUGGAUAGGAUCAUAAAUUUCAAAUUUUGUUUGCUUAUUGAGGUCAAAUAUGCGAGGAUUCACAAGAUAGAGAUGGGUAAUUAACUUUAGGUUAUAUCUAUUCAUUUGAUAUAAAAUAAGUUUUUUACCUGCCCAAUUAUUAGACCAACAGAUUUGGCCUUCAAAAUUUAGUGCGGAUUAUCUCAUUUUAAAUGAAAGGAUAUGUAUUGUGCGCCAACUGGCCAUCAAAGUUUUAUUUAGGCUAUUACUUGAAUAUAGUUGUGUUGAGUAGGAAUGACAUUGAUCUUGAUAUUCUCAAAAUCUAUUGAAUUUAAUCCGUGCUUUAUAGCCUAAAUUUGAUAGAAAAAUGUUCGGCUUAAUAAUGUUGUGUGUUGCACGCACAUGAUAUAUCAACAAAAGCACAAAAUGCUAACAUGGGAAAUUCUGAAAAUUUCGUAUAAUAGAGUGCAUUAUCCGACUUAAAGAUAGAGGCGUCCAUACGGCACAGAUGAUGAUAAUGGUCGAGAUUCUACGAACUUUAUGAAAGUGUGUCUUGUUUCAGGCAGUAGUCUCUACAAAAGAGUAGGUGUGACAUUUGGCCUGAAAACUGCUUGUUAUGGGUAUAUGAGUGUGUAGCUUGAGAUUCUCAAGCUUCUAGUGGCGAGCUAAAUGUUAACAGCAGUUAUUCCUCCAACUAUUUAUUAUGGGCUACGUACCUUCAAGCCUUCUGCCAGAAGCUUCAAUAACCCAAGUGCUGAUAUUCCAGAAACAACUUUUUCAGGAGCAAGUCAAUGUAAUUCACUUCCUAACAGAACAGGCAUUUCCUAAGCCACACUUUUGUUAAGUGGAAUGUAUUGGUAUUUCACGUGCUUGUUCUAGAUAGUGGCCAGGAGUGGUUUAUGAAUGGCUUUAUGAGUUGGCAGUUAUCGCAGCCAAAGUCUUACUUCAUAUGCCUGUGUGUCAGAUGGAGGAGGGUUCUACUAUCAAGUACGAACAUGAAAUAGCAUGCUAAUACGAUAAGACAAACAUGGAGACGCUGAAAACUUCAAAAAACUAGGACGUACAUAUGACGUGGAUAGGCAAAAGUUAUACUUGAAUAUAACUACUUACUAAUAUAAAAAUGAACUUAAAAUGACCAUAUAUUUUUGGUGCAAUACUUGUAUCAGUUGCUAUUUGAGCAGUAAAGGCAGAGCAAAGUCUGGCAGCUUGUUGUUCUCAGCAACUUAACAGUUGUAAACCAAGCAGUUAGUACACUAUUCUGUUCUUCUUGAGCAUAUGCAUAAAUGGGGAUAAGUACGUACCACAGAUAUAUCAACAGUUAGAAAGUAAACCCUUUCUUCUGAAAUGCUAACCUUUUUCUUUCAUGAAACUUUCUGGAUGUUUAUACUCUGUCUUGGUGUUAAGGUAUUGUGCAUAGCACAUGGCUGUUCGUGAUAGUGAGAACGGAAAUGUGUGGAUAGAGAAAGUGAGAUCUGAAGGGUCAGUUCCUUGUCUUCCACCAGAAUACUGUCCAAAUGGUUGGGCUACUCCUCCUGGGGACAUAUUCAUGGUUAGGGGCCCCAACUAUCUCUCAGACAAGGUGAAAAUACCCGGUGGUCAAUAUCUUUUGGAAUCCCUUGGAUUUGAUUGGAUUAAAGGUUCUAAAAAAAUCGGUGAGGUCUUGAAUAAUCCAAAUCAUCGUGUCAGGAAAGCCAUCGAUGAAGCAAUUUCAAGGGGUAAGAAGCCUUUUGUUUGGGCAUUUAAUUUGCAACUCCCGAGCAAGGAUAACUAUAGUGCCAUUGCUUACUUUUUUGGGCUUGAACCUAUUGAAUAUGGGUCUUUGACUGAUCAAUUUAUAAAGGGUGAUGAUACAUUUCGCAAUUCGAGACUCAAGUUAAUAGCCAACAUAGUGCAGGGACCUUGGAUAGUUAAAAAAGCUGUUGGUGAGCAGGCUAUUUGCAUACUUGGUCGUGCUCUUGCUUGUAAAUAUGUUGUUGGGUUGAACUACAUUGAGGUUGAUGUGGAUAUUGCUUCCUCUGUGAUUGCUAAUGCAAUUGUUCACUUGGCAUUUGGUUAUAUCACAUCCCUUACAGUGGAUCUAGCAUUUCUCAUUGAGAGCCAGACAGAGGCUGAGCUUCCAGAAAGAAUUCUUGGAGCUGUUAGGUUUUCAGAACUUACGCCAGAUUCAGCUUCUGAGUACGAGAUGCCAGCUGAAGAGAAUUUUUCGGACAUGCAAUCAUCUCAACCUAGUUUGUGGAGAUCACUUGGUCGCUUCACUCAUUUGCUACAUCGAGGUAAUCAAGAUGGUUCAGUAGAACACAUAAAUGAUACCCUUGAUGUUGAAGAUGAAAAUGUAUUCAAACCCACUGAUGUUACCCUUAAGCAUGAAGAUGGCAAUGAACAUGCAUACAGAUACUGAUUCUUUGGUUAUGACUUCAAAUUCUUAAGGAGAUCCAUUCAUAGCAUCACAUUGUCCAGACGCCAGAGUCCAGAAUCUUAACAAUGCAAAUGCAGCCUUUUCUCUUCCCUUUUUUGUUGGUUGCUUGGUUGAUAUACGCAGGGGAUUCAGGAAUCUGUAAUGAUCAAAAGUUGGAUCACAGUGACAAAAUGAAUUCCAAAGCCGUUCCUACUUGGUUCUGAUCAGAUUAGUUACCCUGAAUGCUUGCGCUGAUGAGAAAAGCACCUAUUAUGAAUUUGUCCGCAUAUAUGUUAAUAAUUAUAGUUGAUAAGAGAUCAUGAGCUGAGGGAAGCGUAUAAUUUAGAACAAAUUUUUACUACUUCAGUCCUCGUACUUUCGUGUGUAAUUAUCUUCAUAAUCCUUUGGGUUGCGUAUUUAAUGUCACGAACCAUUCUCAAUGGAU